rnacentral:lncRNA from 1 species
AGCUUCAUGUGAAAAAGUUCUUUUUUGCUGAACAAUCCAGGCAGGACGAAGAAGAAAAGGAACGAGAAUCCAUUGCACGAAACAAUCAAGAAGUGAAGAAAGAAAAGAUUCUUCUCGUCGACCUCUCACCCCAACCACCGCAAACAGACGGGAUACAUCGGACCUCGGCCAGCCGUAUCACCGUAACUUCAGUGAGUCAGUCAGCAUGACCAGCAAUCGCGGACAGCAGCGGGAGACGAUGACCUCAGCACCAUGGGCUAUAAAAUCUACAGACGACUUCAGACUCCUCAGAGGGCACGCUGGUGAUUGCGCCGGCAAGAUGCUUAAAUUACAAUGGUCUUCACUACAGAUACUGCUGUGGCAGUCUUUCUACACCAGCAAAGUCGACUGCGGGAAUGCAAGACCAGUAGCUGCGGCGUCAUGUGCUGUCAACCUGCAGUACGUCCCUGAUAAUCAAACGCAAUCCUGGCACCUGCAAAGUGGGUUUCCCGUCAUCGACGACAACAGAACAAGAAAGUAUGCGCCGGAAAACCAAGGAUCAGCUACUGCGACAGAGGCGUGGCUGCUCUCCAAACUGCCCCUGGAAACGCUGCGGCUUUAGUAG